rnacentral:rRNA from 1 species
GCUAUGCUACCGCUUUUGGAUGGGCCCGCGGCGCGUUAGCUAGUUGGUGGGGUAAAGGCUUACCAAGGCAAUGAUGCGUAGCCGAACUGAGAGGUUGAUCGGCCACAUUGGGACUGAGACACGGCCCAAACUCCUACGGGAGGCAGCAGUAGGGAAUCUUCCACAAUGGGCGAAAGCCUGAUGGAGCAACGCCGCGUGGGUGAAGAAGGUCUUCGGAUCGUAAAACCCUGUUGUUAGAGAAGAAAGUGCGUGAGAGUAACUGUUCACGUUUCGACGGUAUCUAACCAGAAAGCCACGGCUAACUACGUGCCAGCAGCCGCGGUAAUACGUAGGUGGCAAGCGUUAUCCGGAUUUAUUGGGCGUAAAGGGAACGCAGGCGGUCUUUUAAGUCUGAUGUGAAAGCCUUCGGCUUAACCGGAGUAGUGCAUUGGAAACUGGGAGACUUGAGUGCAGAAGAGGAGAGUGGAACUCCAUGUGUAGCGGUGAAAUGCGUAGAUAUAUGGAAGAACACCAGUGGCGAAAGCGGCUCUCUGGUCUGUAACUGACGCUGAGGUUCGAAAGCGUGGGUAGCAAAC